UUAAACACUAGGCUACCUGCUAGCCUAUCUGGCAUCAGGCAUCACCUCAUCACUCCAGGGUGACAGGACAGCAGCAAUCGCCUGAUGACGGAUUCAGCAGCGUACGGCUGUUUUAUGCUGUUUUGCUGCAGCAUAAGCAAAUGGAGGAUUCUUUGUGUGCAAGUCUGAGGCUGUGUACACAUGUGCGUGAGCUCUCCAAAAGCAAACAACUAGCCUUCAUAAAGCCAAAUUCCAAGCAAGAAACCAGCUCAGCAGCUGUGAAAGUGAAAGAGAAGUGCAGCUACAAUAUGGAUGAAGUGAGAGCAGAACGAUGUAAGGGAUGAAGAAAAUAAGAACUGGAACAAAUCGCGUGAAGGCUGUAUGGGCUUGUCUCUAACUUUUACUGAUAGGAGUAACACAGGAUCUCCUGUCAGGUCUAAUCAAACCCGUUGAGUUGACAGAUGCUGAUUCAGCACUAAGACACAGUGCCUGCUCUCCAGAGGAGGAUUUAUAAAGGUGAACCUGAGCCUCCACAGCGGUGAUUUUCACAUUGCUGGUGCUGGGAAUCCAGGAGCUACUCAGACAAAGCACAUGGAAGGAACAAAGUAGCCCCUUGCUGUAAUGCAACUGCCUCUGGUUAACUCCAGCACAGAAGCUAAUCAGAUCUGUGCCUUAGACAAAGAAGCAAAAUCAGGAAAGAAGAAUUGGAUGGAGAGGAAGAAUUUGACUUGGGAGAGAACUCUUCAGAAAGUACCAUGAGACCUUCAAGAAGGCAGCAGGAUCAGAGUUCUCAUUGCCUGUGAAUUGCCUGAACUGCAUGACUGAGCUUUAAGGAGAGCAGUAACAAAAAGAAUAAAACAGCUUACAAGGUGUCCUACAUAUCCUAACCAACCAACUGACCAACCACCUACCUGCCUGAAAACGAGGAAGGCAAAACAAGACCAUCCAGGCUAGGACAUCCUUAGAGCUACCCCUGUCUUUCCUACUAGAUCUUCUGGCCCUGCUGGCAGUGUGGUCCCAAGGCAACUUCAUUUCUCCCUGUCUUUGCAACAGUCUUGCCUUUCUGGAUGCAUGUCAAUGACUGCCUGGUAGGGUAAGGGACCCAUCUGUGGCACAGAUGAACACAUGCAAUGAAUGGGCUACUAAUUUAAUAUGGUGGUUAAGGAGGAUGAUUUCUGAUACCAGCUCUUUACAAGCAGCAAGUUGACAUGACUCCCUACCCCCAGUCUGUUUCCAUUUUUACUCCCAGUAGUUUACUUCUUUCCCUCAGUCACAUCCUUUCCUAAAUGGUCUCUAGUACCUGGUAUUUAAUUCACAUGUUGUUCCCCUGUAUCCUCUGUGUGCACGAAUUAGAUUGUUAUCGACAAGAGGAGCUUAUCUCUUCUCCUUUAUUGAAUCUGG